GACGAACGCUGGCGGCGUGCUUAACACAUGCAAGUCGAACGAAGUGGCGAACGGGUGAGUAACGCGUAAUCAACCUGCCCUUCAGCGGGGGACACCAGUUGGAAACGACUGCUACUACCGCAUACUGAAGGCGGGGCUUGCGUCUGAUUAGCUAGUUGGAGGGGUAACGGCCAAACAAGGCGAGGAUCAGUAGCCGGGCGGAGAGGAGGAACGGCCACAGUGGGACGGAGAAACGGCCCAGACUCCUACGGGAGGCAGCAGGGGGGAAUCUUCCGAAAUGGAAGAAAGUCUGAAGGAGCAACGCCGCGUGAGUGAUGACGGCCGUCGGGUUGUAAAGCUCUGUUAAUCGGGACGCGGUACCGGAAUAGAAAGCCACGGCUAACUACGUGCCAGCAGCCGCGGUAAUUC
rnacentral:rRNA from 1 species